GCUCGAAUCAAACAAUUUUCGUUAAUUCAGCAGAAGCCUUCAGAAGGAGACAUGAAAAACCACUAUCUGCCUUGGAAGGCUGUUCUUCUGGUGAGCUUUAUAUUCUUCUUCUCCUCAUCGGUUCUCCUCCAAGCAUGGAGUGUGAAGACCGAUGUCCAUGCAGCCCAUGAUGUCCCUCAUUCGAGUCAGAAUGCAGUUCUCAUAACGAAAGAAGAUGGCCAUCGUGGAGAAGAAGAUUGGCUGGCCAUGGAUUAUACGCCGGCUCGAAGAAAGACACCUAUUCAUAAUUAGUAUAUAUAGUAUAUGCAAGUAAGUAGGGUUUGGAGUAAUUAUAUACAGUGCAGGAGGGAAUAACUUCCCCCAACUAGUAUUCUGGUUUUCCUUGGAAAUAAGUUAACUAUACUGGCAGUUUGCUUAUAAGCCAUAUUGGAAGUGUUGAUGGAAGAUAAGUUUAUGGUUGGUUGAAUAAGUUUUCAGCUAUUGUUA